AUUAGUAUGUAUGAAAAAAUGGAAAAAAUAAUAAUUUAAUACUAGUGGCGCACCCUGUUUCUGGUGCGCCAUUAGUGUUUUCCACACUAAUGACGCAUCACCAACCGGUGCGCCAUUAGUAUAUAAUAGUGACGCACUGCUUCCAUGGUGCGCCAUUAGUAUCAAUCCUAUCUAUAGCCCUUUUCCUAGUAGUGUGCUCGUCGGCCAUGCGGGGAGGACGAACGAGCUCCUCGUCGGACAUGCAGGGAGCACAGACGAGCUGCUCAUCGGCGUCCGUCCCACACGCCCCGUCACUCUGCUAGCCGCCGCGCCCCCGUCCAUCCUCUCCUCGGUGCCUGUCCUCGCUCCGCCAUCGCCGAAUCUGGACGAGAUCGGGAUAAUCCGCCGCAUCUCGCGCAGCUGCUCGUCGGCCAUGCGGGGAGGACGAACGAGCUGCUCGUCGGACAUGCAGGGAGCACAGACGAGCUGCUCAUCGGCGUCCGUCCCACAGCGCCGCUGAAGACGGUGCCCAGCCCCCUUGACAGCGCACUCCUCCUACUUGCCGCCCGGGUGCAAAUAGCGACAGCGAGUAGGCGACAACUAUACUACGUCGAGAAGCGAUACAGGGGCAUGAAGCAAGCGAGCAGGUGCGCAACGACCUGCUACUGCACUAAUAGUAGCCUUGACGGAGCACCGGGGCCGGCUCGACAGGGCAUGCCGCCCGCUGGUAGACGCCUGGUUGUGUGAGACGGAGAUGAACCUCGCGUCGUCGCCUCUGCAGCCUGGACAAAGCUCCGCCGGUGCUGGGGAUGAACCCUGCGUCUGUGAUGGUGAUGGCGCUGUCCAUCUACUUUCUCCACUGGCUAUAAGGGAGUAAAGAUCACAUCGUGGAUGUGUUUUUCUUCAAAGAUGUGGCCCUGUCAUUGUUGGCUGUCGAAUUUGCGAUGUAAUCCGUCCCUAUGUAAGUGUAUUAACCACUUCGCCCUCCCGCACAAUGAGCAGAACAGAGCAGCGGCUGCAAUUUACCCAUUGAUUUCUUGGGGUGAUUCAAACCUAGGAAGCCUGCUACUUGUGCAAGCAACAGGGUAACAAGUUUCAGUUUUCUUACUGAUGCACCUCAAUUUUGCAAGGUAAGAACAAUGUCAGUUUACUUUAUGUUGCUUUUCUAAUUUCUACAUAUUCCCUCAAGCAAAUCUAAUUAUCUAGGUAGUACGGAAAGCAGGCAAAUUAUGUAACUAUUUGGGUGUACUCAUGCUCUGCUAUGUCAGAUUGAGGAGAAAGAAUUAUUUUAUUCACCAUCCUAUUUUUUAUCUAUAAUGAUGAUCACUGUUUCCAUCUUGUCAUCUUCUUUGCUCCAGUUGUGCGAAUACUUUGUUUACACUUUAGUGGUACUGAAAUUUUCCUGCUACCAUGAGUCAUGGUAGUAGGCUGCUGCGGCAAAAAGCUGGUAAGCCCCCUAAGGGAAGAAAACUGAAAAAACUCUCAUCGUGCUUACCAUGUUUCAUCUUAAAAUUUUGGCUUGAAUUUUUUUUCUAUAUGACCUAUAUCUAUGUGGUUACUUUCUCCAGACAUACUUUAGUUGCAUCAUUGGUCAAGUGGCUUGAACACAACUCACAUGAGUCAUCGCCAAAUGGCCCUUUUCUGAAAUUCAUUCUCUUAUGCACUGAGAGAGGAGUUACUCCAUGACAGUCUAUAUACAUACAGAUGCAAGCAAUUAAGAAACUCAUGCAGAUGAUGACUGGAGAAUUUUUCACGAAUUUUCCAACCUAAAUUUGCUACAGAGGUUGGGAAAAGAGGAGUCCAGGCUCUGAUGAACACAUGUUCUUUCGCAGGUGACUAACAGUUGGCACCUCUAUCUUUACAUUACAUCAGGCCAGCGCUACAAAGCCCAUAAACCAAUUCAACUAGACCAGGACUAUGUUUAUUAGUCCUCCAGUGUUUGUUGGAAUGAGAUGACACAUGGUAUGCCAGCUAACAAGCAACUAAAGUAAGAAGAUUUUUAUAAUUUCUUGGAAAGAAAGAGUCCUGAACCCAAGAUGGCGAAGGAUCCAAUAUGUCAGGACCAAUGAAGGAAUUGCAGAGCUUCAUAUUCAGUUUAUUUUAGGUGCUUGCCUACUUCAAGUGUCUAGAUUACAGGAAACAUGUUUCUUCAAGUGUCUACUUCAAGCUUGCCCUUACCAUUUACCAGGUGGUGACUUACCGGAGGAGCCAGUGGUGCUGCUGCGACCUUCUCCGGGCGAUGGUCAAUGAUGCAAGCUAAAAUCGGGGAUGGGAUAGCGGCUCCGGGCGACAAUCAGAGGCGAGGCAGCGCUGCAGUUCGAGGACAAAGUGACGCACUGGGGCGACGGCGCGGGGCGAGGAAGAAGCGGCGGAUGGGGCUGUGCAUGGGGGAGUUGGGGCGACCAUUCAGUUCAGCGCACGGGAUCGUAUUAACUCUGUUUUCUCCUAGGUACCUGCGCUGGUAUAGUUUCUCCAUGGGGUUACCAAACGAUUCUCUCUACUCCUUGAUUAAGAUGUCACAUCAAUUUUCUACUUACACGUCAGGCUUAGCACUGGGAGCAGCCUUAUAGAAGUAAUGCAAUAUAUUCUCUCUUAUGCCUACUUGAAAUACUGUUGUGGGUCUGUACUUUGCCUCUCAUAUUGCAAGGAUGACACAUUGUAUGUCUAUUCUCUUAACUUUAGUAAGGAUGAAGCAGGAAAGUGUGCUGGACCUUCUAACAUGGAUAUUGUACAUGUACGAGCUACGGGCCACUAUUGUUUAUCACA